rnacentral:ncRNA from 2 species
CGUUACUCAUCGGGGAGCUAUUGACCUAAUUUAUGUUAGCGUCAGCUGAGAUCGAGCUAUCGCUUGGGACCCGUGUACCUGAACCAGAUAAUGCUGGCGUAGGAAUUGAGUUUGGAUUUGAA